rnacentral:rRNA from 1 species
UACGGGGGGGGGCAAGCGUUUGUUCGGAAUUACUGGGCGUAAAGGGCUCGUAGGCGGCCAACUAAGUCGGAUGUGAAAUCCCCAGGCUUAACCUGGGAACUGCAUCCGAUACUGGAUGGCUUGAAUCCGGGAGAGGGAUGCGGAAUUCCAGGUGUAGCGGUGAAAUGCGUAGAUAUCUGGAGGAACACCGGUGGCGAAGGCGGCAUCCUGGACCGGCAUUGACGCUGAGGAGCGAAAGCCAGGGGAGCAAACAGG